rnacentral:rRNA from 1 species
UACGAAGGGGGGCUAGCGUUGCUCGGAAUUACUGGGCGUAAAGGGCGCGUAGGCGGACAGUUUAGUCAGAGGUGAAAGCCCCAGGGCUCAACCUUGGAAUUGCCUUUGAUACUGACUGUCUUGAGUUCGGGAGAGGUGAGUGGAAUGCCGAGUGUAGAGGUGAAAUUCGUAGAUAUUCGGCGGAACACCAGUGGCGAAGGCGACUCACUGGCCCGAUACUGACGCUGAGGCGCGAAAGCGUGGGGAGCAAACAGG